rnacentral:rRNA from 1 species
UACGGAGGGGACUAGCGUUGUUCGGAAUUACUGGGCGUAAAGCGCACGUAGGCGGAUUUGUAAGUCAGGGGUGAAAUCCCGGGGCUCAACCUCGGAACUGCCUUUGAUACUGCAAAUCUCUAGUCCGGAAGAGGUGAGUGGAAUUCCUAGUGUAGAGGUGAAAUUCGUAGAUAUUGGGAAGAACACCAGUGGCGAAGGCGGCUCACUGGUCCGGUACUGACGCUGAGGUGCGAAAGCGUGGGGAGCAAACAGG